rnacentral:rRNA from 1 species
CCUACGGGUGGCAGCAGUGAGGAAUAUUGGUCAAUGGGCGCGAGCCUGAACCAGCCAAGUAGCGUGAAGGAUGACUGCCCUACGGGUUGUAAACUUCUUUUAUAAAGGAAUAAAGUGAGGCACGUGUGCCUUUUUGUAUGUAUUUUAUGAAUAAGGAUCGGCUAACUCCGUGCCAGCUGCCGCGGUAAUACGGAGUAUCUGAGCGUUAUCCGGAUUUAUUGGGUGUAAAGGGAGAGUAGAUGGGUUGUUAAGUCAGUUGUGAAAGUUUGCGGCUCAACCGUAAAAUUGCAAUUGAUACUGGCAGCCUUGAGUACAGUAGAGGUAGGCGGAAUUCGUGGUGUAGCGGUGAAAUGCUUAGAUAUCACGAAGAACUCCGAUUGCGAAGGCAGCCUACUAAAAUGCCACUGACAUUGAUGCUCGAAAGUGUGGGUAUCAAACAGGAUUAGAUACCCGAGUAGUC